GACGAACGCUGGCGGCGAGCCUAAUACAUGCAAGUCGAGCGCAGGAAGCUGACGGAACUCUUCGGAGAGAAGGCAAUGGAAUGAGCGGCGGACGGGUGAGUAACACGUAAGGAACCUGCCUCAAGGAUUGGGAUAACUCCGAGAAAUCGGAGCUAAUACCGGAUAGUUCAACGGACCGCAUGGUCCGCUGAUGAAAGGCGCUUCGGCGUCACCUUGAGAUGGCCUUGCGGUGCAUUAGCUAGUUGGUGGGGUAACGGCCCACCAAGGCGACGAUGCAUAGCCGACCUGAGAGGGUGAUCGGCCACACUGGGACUGAGACACGGCCCAGACUCCUACGGGAGGCAGCAGUAGGGAAUCUUCCACAAUGGACGAAAGUCUGAUGGAACAACGCCGCGUGAGUGAUGAAGGUUUUCGGAUCGUAAAACUCUGUUGUAAGGGAAGAACACGUACGAGAGGGAAUGCUCGUACCUUGACGGUACCUUACGAGAAAGCCACGGCUAACUACGUGCCAGCCGCCGCCGUAA
rnacentral:rRNA from 1 species